ACCAUCACAAAGGGGAGCCAUUGGCUGAGAGUGGACUUGUCCAGACCCUUCGAACCUGUUCGUUAAUACGAGCGUAGGGAUUGUGUUGGCCGUGCAA
rnacentral:ncRNA from 2 species